UACGUAGGGUGCAAGCGUUGUCCGGAAUUACUGGGCGUAAAGAGCUCGUAGGCGGUCUGUCGCGUCGGCUGUGAAAACCCGGGGCUCAACCCCGGGCCUGCAGUCGAUACGGGCAGACUAGAGUGCGGUAGGGGAGACUGGAAUUCCUGGUGUAGCGGUGAAAUGCGCAGAUAUCAGGAGGAACACCGGUGGCGAAGGCGGGUCUCUGGGCCGUAACUGACGCUGAGGAGCGAAAGCGUGGGGAGCGAACAGG
rnacentral:rRNA from 1 species